GACGUAGGGCGCGAGCGUUGUCCGGAUUUAUUGGGCGUAAAGAGCUCGUAGGCGGCUUGUCGCGUCGUCCGUGAAAACUUGGGGCUCAACCCCAAGCUUGCGGUCGAUACGGGCAGGCUAGAGUUCGGUAGGGGAGACUGGAAUUCCUGGUGUAGCGGUGAAAUGCGCAGAUAUCAGGAGGAACACCGAUGGCGAAGGCAGCUCGCUGGGACGGUACUGACGCUGAGGCGCGAAAGCGUGGGGAGCAAACAGG
rnacentral:rRNA from 1 species